AGCUAAAGGUAAUUGAUAAUUUAUACUGUAGUGUUUUUUGAAAUAUUAAACUGUGACACGUUAGAACAACCUGCAGAAUUUUUAUUUUUAAACGUGUUGAUGUGACUUUUGAUUAAAGUUAUUGUACAGGUCAGGACCGCCCGUUUGCUAUAGAACUGUAACCUGAAGCACAAUGAAAAUUUUCUUUUUCCUGAUCGUCUGCUUAGCCGCAUCGCAUGCUCUUCCCAAAGGAGGUUUGUCAAAAAGACAAGGAUACUUUGAAGGCCAACGAUUUAUAAUUAGAUGUAACUGGCAGUUCGAGCCUUGUGGUGUUAUUAAUGGGGAAUUCUAUGGAAACUGCUGUCAGGCCUUCCAUUGCAGCAGCUGGUCUCGAUUUUGUCUGUUAGAUUGAAGCGACUCAAGUUUCUGAGCGAGAUGAUGAGAUUAGACGCCACUGAUGGACAUUAAAAUAAAUCACUGAA